ensembl:lncRNA
UGUAGGUAUAGGGGUGUGGAAGAACUGUUAUUCCAACUACUGACACCAAAAAGCAUGGGGCCGUGGUCCGUCCAGUGAAGACAGGAGCUCUUCUGCAGCAAAGAGAGCGUACUGCGUUAUCUAAUUUAAAAUAGUGUUAACAAGCCUCCGGUUGAUAAAUAGGCGCGCAUGCAGCUUUCAUGAAGGAGGAUGGAGAUAGAGAAGAGGACGAAUGGGUUCGAUUACCCAGAGAGAAACAACACUAAGUCCGACGGCUUCUAUGGUGAUCAUCCCUUGGAAGCCGAACAGAAGAAUGGAUUAGAUGGAGUGAAUGACAGUAAUCUUGAUGGCCAGUUGCCGAGGGCCACAGUAUCUCCCAAGAAACUGUUCAGGUGCAGAAUUUUUUGAUUGACCUGUACUGCCCGCCUGCUGUCUGCCUUCAGGAGGAUCCUAUCUGGAACAGUUGUUGACCAGUGUGGGAGGGUUCAACGGUGAACUUCCAUGCACGCUUCCUUCCCAGCAAUCAUGUAGGACCUCGAUGGAGAUUGAUGACCCUUUAUGCAAACAUCUGAGGAGAUGACAGCCGGACACAUUUAGCUGAGAGACUUUGUCCUCUAGUAGUUCUGUGAUGAUGUGUGUUGAAUGUAGAGCUAAAGUCAAC